rnacentral:rRNA from 1 species
CAGCCGCCGCGGUAAUACAGAGGGUGCGAGCGUUAAUCGGAUUUACUGGGCGUAAAGCGUGCGUAGGCGGCUUCUUAAGUCGGAUGUGAAAUCCCUGAGCUUAACUUAGGAAUUGCAUUCGAUACUGGGAAGCUAGAGUAUGGGAGAGGAUGGUAGAAUUCCAGGUGUAGCGGUGAAAUGCGUAGAGAUCUGGAUGAAUACCGAUGGCGAAGGCAGCCAUCUGGCCUAAUACUGACGCUGAGGUACGAAAGCAUGGGGAGCAAACAGGAUUAGAUACCCCAGUAGUCCCUGUCUCUUAUAC